UUGCUUAUAGUCAAUUGCUCUUUGUUGUGUCUUGCUCUUGAUCUCCUCAACAUCCAUGGUCAUCCCUUUUUUGAAAGAUAAUGAUAUCACUCACACUAAAAGCUCUAGUGUGAAAGAAAUCUCCACACUAGGCACCUUUCCGAACUAAAUCCUUCAAUUCAGUCACUUCUGUAUUGUAGCAAUAUCUUCUGACAUAAUGUCCCACUUGCCCAGUAGUGCUUAGAUGGCACAAACAUUCUACAACACCACUACCUUCUCAACCUGUGUCUUGGAGCACCCUUGACCUGGAACAGGUUAUCAAUCGCAGUUGAAUUUUCAGUCCAACCAAUCUCCUAUAGCACAAAGCCUUCACAAUGUUCCUUAUUGCCCACUAGGUAGACCUCAAGUGCCCACAUUGCUUCCUCCUUUGUCAUUGGCACACUCAGCUUGCCAAUUUCUUCUUGAGUGAUGUUGGAUUUCAAUCAUGACUUCAAUUGACUUCAAUUGACUUCAAUUGGAUUUCAAUCCUGACUUCAAUUGACUUCAAUCCUGCCUCUCUUAGUUGGAGAUGACUCUUUUGCAUUCUUCCUAACUCCUAUAGUCUUGCAUCAAUAGAUUUCACUUGCUCUAUAGUCACAGAUUCUCACUUACUUUCUAUAGGAGGAUCUAUUCCCUUCUUCUUAAGUGAUGAUAGCAAAGGGGGCAACAGCCCAUCUUGGUUCUUGCCCAUCACUCAUCAAGAUGUAAGCUGCCCAAGCUCCUCCUCCCUACUCCUCACCUUGC
rnacentral:lncRNA from 1 species